CGCUGCUAUAGGCAGGGACACCUCUAUCUAGAGCAGGUUGCUCACAGCCCCAUCCAGCCUGGCCUUGAGUGCUUCCAGGGAGGGACACUGCUUCUCUGGGCAACCUGUUCCCAUGUCUCACCACCCUCGCAGUGAAUGAUUUCUUCCUAAUAUCUAGUCUAAAUAACCAUUUCCAAAUACCCUGUAAAGGGGGACACUCUAUUGAUUGUUUAAAUUAAUAGUAGCUUGAUUUCUUUUGUGAGGGCACCUAAAAAGAUUCUUCUUCUGAGCCACUGGAACUUCUACCCACAUAUCGGUACACAACUUUCUGUGCAUGUUAAAGCACAAAACUCCCUAGAAAGGUUCAGCGGGGCAUCGUGGUUUGCCACAGACUCCUCCUCAGCCCAUCUACAGCUCCAGGAGGUUUCAAGUGCUCCUAUCAUUAUGCUGCUGCUGAUUUCCCUCAUUGCACUUUCAGGUCAAGGCACACAAGAGUCUAUCAAAAGCAUAUGUAAUUAGUGCUCCACAGAGUGCUGCAGGGUCACACACCCCCUGGCCCCUGACCCCCUCCCCACAUUGCUGUCCCACUGGGGCCCAUUUUGCAUGCUCACCCCGUGAUCCUCACGUUCCUUUUGACCCCAACAUGCCCACCAGUGGGGAUGCUUCCAUGGUGUGCAAUGGAUGCAUCCCAGCACUGCACAGCCAUGGCCUGUGGGAGGCAGCUACAGCCCCACAGCUCAGCACAGGGAACGUCUGGAUGUGCAGAAGAAUGAGGAAAGAACAGGAGGGGCAGAGCACACACCCAGAAGGCAGAAGCCAACCUCUUCCCAACCAACCUCUUCUUCUGCAGGGGCAACAGAUGUUUACGAGGGUGGAUGGUGAUAGGACAAGGGGGAAUGGUUUUAAAUCGAGACAGGGGAGGUUUAGGUUGGAUAUGAGGAGGAAGAUUUUUACACAGAGGGUGGUGACGCACUGAACAGGUUGCCCAAGGAGGCUGUGGAUGCCCCAUCCCUGCAGGCAUUCAAGGCCAGGCUGGAUGUGGCUCUGGGCAGCCUGGGCUGCUGCUUGGCGACCCU
ensembl:lncRNA